rnacentral:rRNA from 1 species
UACAGAGGGUGCGAGCGUUAAUCGGAAUUACUGGGCGUAAAGGGUGCGUAGGCGGGUCUUUAAGUCAGGGGUGAAAUCCUGGAGCUCAACUCCAGAACUGCCUUUGAUACUGAAGAUCUUGAGUUCGGGAGAGGUGAGUGGAACUGCGAGUGUAGAGGUGAAAUUCGUAGAUAUUCGCAAGAACACCAGUGGCGAAGGCGGCUCACUGGCCCGAUACUGACGCUGAGGCACGAAAGCGUGGGGAGCAAACAGG